UGGGGAAUAUUGGACAAUGGGGGCAACCCUGAUCCAGCAAUGCCGCGUGUGUGAAGAAGGCCUUAGGGUUGUAAAGCACUUUCAGUGGGGAGGAAGGUUUGAGUGCUAAUAUCAUUCAAAAUUGACGUUACCCACAGAAGAAGCACCGGCUAACUCUGUGCCAGCAGCCGCGGUAAUACAGAGGGUGCAAGCGUUAAUCGGAAUUACUGGGCGUAAAGAGUGCGUAGGUGGUUGUGUAAGUUAGAUGUGAAAUCCCUGGGCUCAACCUAGGAACUGCGUUUAAAACUGCAUAGCUAGAGUAUUGUAGAGGAUAGUGGAAUUUCCAGUGUAGCGGUGAAAUGCGUAGAUAUUGGAAGGAACACCAGUGGCGAAGGCGACUAUCUGGGCAAAUACUGACACU
rnacentral:rRNA from 1 species